GGAAAUUCAAAAUGGCGACCAAGAAAUUGUAUUUUCUGCAUUAACUUAAAUAUAACAGCAGUUUGACCAGAAAAUAUUUCCUUUYGAUUCAAGAAAAGAUUGGGUGUUUUGACUUGGAUCUAAGAACGCUUUCAAAACAAAGGAAACCAGAUUUCAUUUCAAGAUGAAAAUUUUCGAAGAUGAUAACCAUCCAUUUCUACGAGUGCUAGUGAUUUCAACAAUUUUAGUGCUUGGCCUACUGAUCAUGAUCGACUUAUUCCCAUGGACUGCGUUUGGGUUCAGGACGCGUCGAAAGAAAGACAACAACAUUGUUCUSAUAAGUCUCGCUAUUAUUGCAUUGUUCGUCGAGUGGAUUGUAUAUUACACAUUAGAAUAACAAUUUUAACUUAUUAUCGACUUGGAUUUUUACAUCAAUUCAAUAUAAUGGACAAUGAGCGGGAUCAUUAGUGAAYAUUAUUCAAACGAAGGUCUACCAGGUGAGGUUACUGUUUCUCAUGCCGCACGAUCGCAAGUUGUUAUGGGUAUUCAUGGAGAUCUUCAAUAAUGAUGUUUUUGACAAUUAUUUAAAUUUAAAAUAUCAUGUAAUAAAGUUACUUGCGAUCCCUGUGGUACAAUAUAGAAAGAUGGCGUGGCAAAUCUCAUUUCGCAAAUAGCUAUUUCAAAAAAGGUUUUCGAAGAGAAUGGUGAUACUUGAAUGAAACUUGUAGAACUGAAAGGAGCUAAUGUAAUAAACCAUCCAGAAUGUGAUUAUUAGUGGAUAUAUCCUAGAAUAAACUACAAAACUUGGUUUGAAUAUUUUUGUUCUGUCAUUUCAUCAUCUGUGUAGCAGCCUCUCUUUCCUUGUACACAGGGAUCCCAAGAGGGCUGCUAGGCUAUUGUUCACCAACAACCUUUUUUAAUAAAUAAAUGUGGCACUGGCAAUUGUA